rnacentral:rRNA from 1 species
GGCAGGCUUAACACAUGCAAGUCGAGCGGGCACUUCGGUGUCAGCGGCAGACGGGUGAGUAACACGUGGGAACGUACCCUUUGGUUCGGAAUAACGCUGGGAAACUAGCGCUAAUACCGGAUACGCCCUUUUGGGGAAAGGCUUGCUGCCGAAGGAUCGGCCCGCGUCUGAUUAGCUAGUUGGUGGGGUAAUGGCCUACCAAGGCGACGAUCAGUAGCUGGUCUGAGAGGAUGAUCAGCCACACUGGGACUGAGACACGGCCCAGACUCCUACGGGAGGCAGCAGUGGGGAAUAUUGGACAAUGGGCGCAAGCCUGAUCCAGCCAUGCCGCGUGAGUGAUGAAGGCCUUAGGGUUGUAAAGCCCUUUUGUCCGGGACGAUAAUGACGGUACCGGAAGAAUAAGCCCCGGCUAACUUCGUGCCAGCAGCCGCGGUAAUACGAAGGGGGCUAGCGUUGCUCGGAAUCACUGGGCGUAAAGGGCGCGUAGGCGGCCAUUCAAGUCGGGGGUGAAAGCCUGUGGCUCAACCACAGAAUUGCCUUCGAUACUGUUUGGCUUGAGUAUGGUAGAGGUCGGUGGAACUGCGAGUGUAGAGGUGAAAUUCGUAGAUAUUCGCAAGAACACCAGUGGCGAAGGCGGCCGACUGGACCAUUACUGACGCUGAGGCGCGAAAGC